rnacentral:lncRNA from 1 species
ACGACGUAUGCACACUUCCUGGCUGACUCGGCGAAUGUCUAGUGCGCAUGAAUCGUUUCGGCUGCAGUCAGUCGCAGCGAUUUGCGCCGUUCGUAGCCACCGACGCAUCACGAUCUUGAAGCAACUAGUCAUAGAACAUUAUAAAUUCGGUAUUUUAAGCAAAAGUUGCGUAACUCCUCCAUUGGCAGCAGAAAAAUAUCGGUGAGAACGGCCUAUCCAGGACUCAAUACAAGAGCCUAGGACUUCUGCGGAGGGACUCCCACGCGGGCCUCUCUCUUCACCAUUAGUUGGCUUUAUUGGUCUAUAAGGCUUUACUUGGUUCGGGUAUCGCAUGUUGAUCGCAGUGGUAGCGUACUCUUGGAGGAUCCAGGUACACUUCCCACUCCCAUAUCUCCAAAUUUUUUCACGAGGGGCCCGACCUAUUGAAUCCCAUCUUCCAUCUCACAGCCGAUCCCACCAGGACUGCAAUUGGUUGUGGUGGGAACUUGAAUGCCUCACCACACCUCUUAUUACCUCUAAAGCGGCAUGUUUUAAAUAAAAAGUUUUAAAUAUUGUGUUAAGGAAAUUUAAAUAAAAUAAUAAUUUUAUGUUUGAAUUAUGAGCAAGUUAUUUCUGAAGGUUUAAAUACAGUUUCAUCUGCAUCAUAGUUACGU